AUUGAACGCUGGCGGCAGGCCUAACACAUGCAAGUCGAGCGAGCGGCGGACGGGGGAGUGAUGUAUGGGGAUCUUCCCGAAGGCGGGGGAGAACUACUGGAAACGGUGGCGAAUACAGCAUACUCUCGGGUGAACCCAUAUGGGAUUAGCUAGUAGGUGGGGUAAAGGCUCACCUAGGCGACGAUCUCUCGCUGGUCUGAGAGGAUGAACAGCCACACUGGGACGGAGAAACGGCCCAGACUCUGACGGGAGGCAGCAUUGGGGAAUAUUGCACAAUGGGCGCAAGCCGGCUGCAGCAAUGCCGGGUGUAUGAAGAAGGCCUUAGGGUUGUAAAGUACUUUCAGCGGGGAGGCGUUACCCGCCGAAGAAGCACCGGCUAACUCCGUGCCAGCAGCCGCGGUAAUAC
rnacentral:rRNA from 1 species